UACGGAGGGUGCAAGCGUUAUCCGGAUUCACUGGGUUUAAAGGGUGCGUAGGCGGGUAAGUAAGUCCGUGGUGAAAUCUCUAAGCUUAACUCAGAAACUGCCGUGGAUACUAUUUGCCUUGAAUAUUGUGGAGGUGAGCGGAAUAUGUCAUGUAGCGGUGAAAUGCUUAGAUAUGACAUAGAACACCAAUUGCGAAGGCAGCUCACUACACAAUCAUUGACGCUGAGGCACGAAAGCGUGGGGAUCAAACAGG
rnacentral:rRNA from 1 species